rnacentral:lncRNA from 1 species
AUCUGUGACCCGGGGCCACGUGCUGGGAUCAGCUCUUUACACGAAGGAGCUCACUGACUCCCCUGGAUCCCCUUGCCAGGUCUCACCUCCCAUCAAGGAAGAUGUCCAGAUUGCUGUCUGACGUCUGGUCUCUGGACUGAAGGCCAUUUAGUGCAGAUCUCACAAAUGAUGGUGGGGCAAGGCAGGGGGUAUGCAUGAGUGGCAUGGGCAAGGUGUGAGUUGGGGGAUACAAAAGGGAGUGGUGGAGGCCGGGCACGGUGGCUCACACCUGUAAUCCCAGCACUUUGGGAGGCCAAUGCGGGCGAAUCACCUGAGGUCAGGAGUUCAGGGCCAGUCUGAUAGCCUGAGCAACAUGGAGAAACCCCGCCUCUAAUAAAAAAUACAAAAAUUAGUGAAGCCGACUGGACCAGCAGGUGGCUGUUGUGUGGCCUCUCAGGAGGACGCCCUCUCCCUUCCCCCAGUGGUUGCAAAAUACUUCAGAAAGAAAACCAAAGUUCUCUGUGGGUGCAGUCGGUUGUUUCAGAAGCUGACGGAGCCUGGUCUUUGUAUAACCCCAUCUUUCCCCUUUCUUUCUGUCAACUGUUUAUGGGAGGAUUCUCAAACUGUUCUGGAGAAUGUUUCUACCCUUUAGUUCUAGUGUUGGGUGACCUGUAAUUUUCAUGUUGGCUGGGGAUGCCAGGAGUUGGCAGAGGCUCCUUCCAGAGCCCCUGUGGACUGGAUUCUGCCACUUCCGUAAAAUCAUUCAAAAGUAGAGGGUGAGUCAGGUGCAGUAGCUCACAUCUGUAAUCCCAGCACCUUGAGAGGCCAAGGCAGGCAGAUCCCCUGAGGUCAGGAGUUCAAGAUCACCCUGGCCAACAUGGUGAGACCCUGUCUCUACUAAAAAAAAUUUAAAAAUCAGCUAGAUGUGGUGGCACACGCCUGUGGUCCCAGCUACUCAGAAGGCUGAGGCAGGAGAAUUGCUUGAACCCAGGAGGUGGAGGUUGCAGUGAGCUGAGAUCAUACCACAACCCAGUGAAGGGGGUCCAGCAAGCCAUGCCUGGGGUGAGAGAGAACUGAUGUUUUGGUUCUCUCACACUACUUAUUCUGUUUGGAAAAACACAUGCCCUUCCUUUGUGGGAACAGCCCCUACCCACUUCUGUGGCUCUGAAGGGACCACCAGUCAUGGCACCAGCCCCCUGGGCAUGGGAUUGGCCCCUGACAGGCACAUGACUUGAGCCAGGCCAAUUAGAGGCCUUCCUUGGGAUUUACUAUAUGGACGUUAGGAGAGAGAUGCUCUCUUAUUCUGCUGGAGUUUGCUGAACUUGCAUGGGAAGGGAUAGGCCUUAUGGAGAGACCAACACAUAGAUAAUAGUUGGGAUGGGAGAUGAAAGGAGAGAAUCCUGACAUCAUUUGAGUCCCCUGAUCCAGCAACACCUGAGGCUAGAUCCUCUUAGCUGUGUGAGCCUAUAGUAUCAGUCUCUGUCUCCUCUGUCUCUCUUAAUGUGUGGGAUUCAGCCAUCUGCAACAACUACCACAAAAUCCCGGAGUAUGCAGGGAACUUCCCACAGAGCUAACUUCCUUUUUUGUUCUGUCUCCUAAAACACCAAGAUCCGGUGAGGUUAAGCAACGUGUCCAAGGUCAUCACUAUUUGAAGGCAGGGCAGCAUUUAACCCAAUUUUAUCUAAUCCUAUGCAGGCUCAUUUAUCUAGACCAGAGUUUCUCAAAUGAGGCAUCCCAGGCUCUAAGGGCUGCAGAGAAGUUUCCAGAGAUGCCACUGAGGGCAGGAGUGGACAGAGUGGAUAACUCCAAAGAUCUUAACACCCUCUGGAUGACUAACAGUGCUUGAGCACUUCCCAUUUGCAAGACAUUUGCAAGUUCUUUUCCAUAAAUCAUCCUUUUUUUUCAUCCCCAUAAGCUAUGAGCUGGGGCUAAUGACAUCCCCACUGAACAGAUGAGAAAACUGAGGCCCAGGAAAGGAAUUGCUCAGGUUAUAUAGAACCUGUGAUGCGUUCUGGGAGGAACCAUAUCUUAAGCCUGAUACUACUUAGUGGGAUCAGCUGGAAGGCAAGGUGGGGAGGCGGCAGUGCCGCCAGAGUAGCGUUGGGGGCUGGACUGGGGGUCAAAUGAUGAGGUUUUUUUGUUUUUGUUUUUGUUUUUGUCUUGUUUGUUUGUUUUUUUUUUUGAUACGGAGUCUGGCCCUGUCACUCAGGCUGGAGUGCAAUGGUGACAUCUCCACUCACUGCAACCUCUGCCUCCUGGGUUCAAACGAUUCUCCUGCCUCAAGCCUCCUGAGUAGCUGGGAUUAUAGGUGCCUACCACCACGCCCAGCUAAUUUUUCUAUUUUUAGCAGAGAUGGGGUUUCACUAUGUUGGCCAGAUUGGUCUUGAACUCCUGACCUUGUGAUCCGCCUGCCUCGGCCUCCCAAAAUGCCGGGAUUACAGUCGUGAGCCACCGCACCCGGCCAAUGAUGAGCUUUUCUGAAGUAGCAUCAGACCAGGCUGCAAAAGAGGGGCACCAGGGAAAGCUUUUCCUGCCAUUCACCCCUGCAGGAUCCUGGCCAGGCGAGUAGCUGUGUGACCCUGGGUUGAGUCAUCCCCAUUUUACAGAGGGAAAACUGAGACUCCGGAGGUUUGCGACAUGGCCUGCUAACAGGCAGAGCCGGGAUUCAAAUCAAGAUCUCACUCCAGUGAGUGAAUGGGAACAGGAUGCAGAUGGUAGACACUGAACACGAAGAAGAAAGCACUGAGGCUGGGAUGAAGAAAGACUUGCUGGCCUUUGAAGGACACUGCAUAACGAAGAAAUUAGAUCCUUGACAAUAUCCCUCGGCAAAUGUUGUGAAGACAGACCUGUCGUGCGAUUUUUGUCAGGUGCUCCAGGAAGAUUACAACAGUCUGUACUCUUUACCAAUAAGGCGUGAAGGUGCCCAUUUCACCACGUUUUUGCCAUCACAGCUUAUUAAUUUUUAAAUUUUGUUGCUACUCUGGGGCAGGAUGGAGUAACCACUGGACUGAAGAAAUGAUCUGUGAGUCCAGACGUGGUGGCUCAUGCCUCUAAUCCCAGCAUUUUAGGAGGCUGAGGUCAGAGAAUUGCUCGAGCCGAGGAGUUCAAGAUCAGCCUGGGCAACAAAGCAUGAUGUUGUCUCCACAAAAAUAAAAUAAUGAAGUAAAAUAUCUGAAACCUGCUGCAGCCUGUUCAUUGGUGUUAAGAUAACUCCCUCUCCCAGAAGCCUUGGCUAAGCACACUGUCGAGGCCAGUGCUUCUCAAUAGGUGGGUGACUUUGUCCUCCUCACCCCCAGGGACACUUGGUAAUAUCUGGAGACAUUUUGGGUUACUGCAAUUGGAUGGUAUGCUACUGGCACCUAUGGGCAGAAGCCAGGGAUGCUGUUUCACACCCUGCAGCAAACAAGACAGCCCUGUCCACCCAACAAAGAAUUGUCUGGCCACAACAUUACUAAAGCUGAGGCUGAGGGAAGUUGGUCUAGGCUACAUGUUUUUCUCUUUACAGAGAAAAUGACCCAUCAUGUCUCCUAAUAGAGAAACGCUGCUUCCGGCCGAAUGACAAGAGCUCACGCCUGUAAUCCCGACACUUUGGGAGGCCAAGGCAGG